rnacentral:rRNA from 1 species
ACGAAGGGGGCUAGCGUUGCUCGGAAUUACUGGGCGUAAAGGGCGCGUAGGCGGGCGAUUAAGUUGGGGGUGAAAUCCCAGGGCUCAACCCUGGAACUGCCUCCAAAACUGGUCGUCUUGAGUAUGGGAGAGGUGUGUGGAACUCCGAGUGUAGAGGUGAAAUUCGUAGAUAUUCGGAAGAACACCAGUGGCGAAGGCGACACACUGGCCCAUUACUGACGCUGAGGCGCGAAAGCGUGGGGAGCAAACAGGA